AACAAAGAUAAAGAUUGGGAAACUAAUCCUUAUAGGAAACAAAACCUGGUCAUUAUUUUCUUGUGCCGCUAUACACAGAGAUGCUGCACAAGCAACCAGGUGGAUGCUGAUGCCAUACACAGAGACUGGAAGAACAAGUAAGAGUCAGAGGUUGGGUCAUAGAUUUAGGAGACAUUAGUCAUUAAGAUGGUAACUGAAGUCAUCAGAGAAAAAGGGCUGGCUCAGAAAGGACAUAGAAUCUGAGGAGAGAAAAGGACCAAGUACAGAAUUCAAGGGAAUAGUAAAAUUUAAGAGGCAGGUAGAAAAAGAAUAGGCCAUGAAGGCUGAGAAAGAAUUUCUAAAUGGUGGAAAGAGAAAUCAGAAAGAUUAGAGUACUGGAAAUUAAGAGAGAAUUACAAGCAUAAAUGAUUCCUCUAGUUUAAGGGACUAGACUGAGCACACACAUUUACAUCCCCUGCCUCCAAAAACAUGCUUAGGUGAAACACAAAACCUGCUAUAUGACAAAAAAGGAUUACAGAGAAAUGUCCCAGUAGAAGGCCCGAAAAUUUGAACAAAUUCUUGAAGACAGAGGAUAAGAUCAUAUUAGAUAAGAAAAACAGGACAAUGUAGCCCACAAUCUAAUGCAUACAGAGAAGUGGGCAGAAGGAGCAGGGUGCUGAUGAGAGCCCAGAAAGAUGCCCAAGCUUCAACUGAACAAGACCUGGAACAAACUGUGUGGUAGGAAGAAUGAUUAACAGAGUAAACUUCCUAUUUGAAUACAAGUGACAUCCUUCAAAUGAGUGAGGAAAGGCUGGACACUAAUGUCAUAGGGACAGCUAGAUGGCCACCUGGGAAAGGACAGAUCUCUCUCUCACACCACAGAGCAGGAUACAAUUAAAAUGCAUUCAAGAUCUAAAUGUAAAAAAUAAAAUCACAUUCUAGAAGACUACAUACGACAAUGAUUUUACAAUGUUAGAGUGGGAAAUGCCCAACUAUGACUGAAAAUCCAGGAAUCAGAAAA